CACAUGCAAGUCGAGCGGNAGGNUCCUUCGGGAUGCCGGCGAGCGGGGACGGGUGAGUAAUGCCUAGGAAUCUGCCUGGUAGUGGGGGAUAACUCGGGGAAACUCGAGCUAAUACCGCAUACGUCCUACGGGAGAAAGCGGGGGAUCUUCGGACCUCGCGCUACCAGAUGAGCCUAGGUCGGAUUAGCUAGUUGGUGAGGUAAAGGCUCACCAAGGCGACGAUCCGUAGCUGGUCUGAGAGGAUGAUCAGCCACACUGGAACUGAGACACGGUCCAGACUCCUACGGGAGGCAGCAGUGGGGAAUAUUGGACAAUGGGCGAAACGUGAUCCAGCCAUGCCGCGUGUGUGAAGAAGGUCUUCGGAUUGUAAAGCACUUUAAGUUGGGAGGAAGGGCAGUAAGCUAAUACCUUGCUGUUUUGACGUUACCGACAGAAUAAGCACC
rnacentral:rRNA from 1 species